rnacentral:rRNA from 1 species
GACGAACGCUGGCGGCGUGCUUAACACAUGCAAGUCAAACGGAAAGGCCCUGCUUUUGUGGGGUGCUCGAGUGGCGAACGGGUGAGUAACACGUGAGUAACCUGCCCUUGACUUUGGGAUAACUUCAGGAAACUGGGGCUAAUACCGGAUAGGAGCUCCUGCUGCAUGGUGGGGGAUGGAAAGUUUCGGCGGUUGGGGAUGGACUCGCGGCUUAUCAGCUUGUUGGUGGGGUAGUGGCUUACCAAGGCUUUGACGGGUAGCCGGCCUGAGAGGGUGACCGGCCACAUUGGGACUGAGAUACGGCCCAGACUCCUACGGGAGGCAGCAGUGGGGAAUAUUGCACAAUGGGCGGAAGCCUGAUGCAGCAACGCCGCGUGCGGGAUGACGGCCUUCGGGUUGUAAACCGCUUUCGCCUGUGACGAAGCGUGAGUGACGGUAAUGGGUAAAGAAGCACCGGCUAACUACGUG